GGGAACGCCAACACAGAGGGGUUGGGGAGAAGAGGCAGAGAAAGAAACACUGAAAAAGCGCUGGGAGAGGUAGGAGGAGCACGAAGAGAGAGCAGUAUCCCGUAGACCGAGAUUACAGAGAAUGGGAAGAAGCUGUUGAUGAGCAACAGUGUCAAAGGCAGUUGAAAGAUCAAGGAGAAUUAGGAUAGAGUAAUGACCGAGAUUUAGCAGCGAUUAAAUUGUUGGAUACUUUGGUCACAGCUGCUUCAACAGAGCGACGAGCGCGGAAUUCAGACUGAAGCGGGUCAAGCAGAGAGUUGGAUUCAAUAAAGUCCGUCAAUCUUGCAUACACAACUCUCUCAAGGAUCUUGGAGGCAAAUGGCAGUAGCAAUAUAGGGCGGUAGUUGGAUAGGGAAUUAGGGUCAAGGUUGGGCUUUUUCAGAAUCGGCGUUAUAGUUGCAUGCUUGAAGGGUGAAGCAAAUGUGCCAGAGGAAAGGGAGAAAUUGAAAAUUUUAGUGAG